rnacentral:rRNA from 1 species
AUUGAACGCUGGCGGCAGGCCUAACACAUGCAAGUCGAACGAGUGGCGGACGGGUGCGUAAUGUCUGGGAAACUGCCUGAUGGAGGGGGAUAACUACUGGAAACGGUAGAUAAUACCGCAUACCAUCCGAUGGGCCCAGAUGGGAUUAGCUUGUUGGUGGGGUAACGGCGCACCGAGGCGACGAUCCCUAGCUGGUCUGAGAGGAUGACCAGCCACACUGGAACUGAGAUACGGUCCAGACUCUUACGGGAGGCAGCAGUGGUGAAUAUUGCACAAUGGGCGCAAGCCUGAUGCAGCCAUGCCGCGUGUAUGAAGAAGGCCUGCGGGUUGUAAAGUACGUGCAGCGGGGAGGCGUUACCCGCAGAAGAAGCACCGGCUAACUCCGUGCCAGCCGCCGCGGUAAUUC